AGCCCCGUGGUGUAGCGGUCCAGCAUAAUGGGUUUUGGCCUCAUUGACGGAGGUUCAAAUCCUCCCGGGGCUACCA
rnacentral:tRNA from 1 species